rnacentral:rRNA from 1 species
AGAGUUUGAUCAUGGCUCAGAUUGAACGCUGGCGGUAGGCUUAACACAUGCAAGUCGUGCGAGAAAGUACCUUCGGGUGCGAGUAGAGCGGCGGACGGGUGAGUAACGCGUAGGAAUCUACCUAGUAGAAGGGGAUAGCCCGAGGAAACUCGGAUUAAUACCGUAUACCUCCUUAGGGAGAAAGAGGGCUUAGCUUUGAUGCUCUCGCUAUUAGAUGAGCCUGCGUAAGAUUAGCUUGUUGGUGAGGUAAUGGCUCACCAAGGCGACGAUCUUUAGCUGGUCUGAGAGGACGAUCAGCCACAUUGGGACUGAGACACGGCCCAGACUCCUACGGGAGGCAGCAGUGGGGAAUAUUGGACAAUGGGCGCAAGCCUGAUCCAGCCAUACCGCGUGUGUGAAGAAGGCUUUCGGGUUGUAAAGCACUUUAAGUAAGGAGAAAAAGAUUGUAGUUAAUACCUGCAAUCCGUGAUGUUACUUACAGAAUAAGGACCGGCUAAUUCCGUGCCAGCCGCCGCGGU